UACAGAGGGUGCGAGCGUUAAUCGGAAUUACUGGGCGUAAAGCGUGCGUAGACGGUUAUUUAAGUCGGGUGUGAAAGCCCCGGGCUCAACCUGGGAAUUGCAUUCGAGACUGAAUAGCUAGGGUACGGUAGAGGGAAGCGGAAUUUCCGGUGUAGCGGUGAAAUGCGUAGAUACCGGAGGGAACAUCAGUGGCGAAAGCGGCUUCCUGGACCAGUACCGACGUUCAGGCACGAAAGCGUGGGGAGCAAACAGG
rnacentral:rRNA from 1 species